AACGAACGCUGGCGGCAGGCCUAACACAUGCAAGUCGAACGCCGUAGCAAUACGGAGUGGCAGACGGGUGAGUAACACGUGGGAACGUACCCUUCGGUUCGGGAUAACUCAGGGAAACUUGAGCUAAUACCGGAUACGUCCGAGAGGAGAAAGAUUUAUCGCCGAGGGAUCGGCCCGCGUCUGAUUAGCUUGUUGGUGAGGUAACGGCUCACCAAGGCGACGAUCAGUAGCUGGUCUGAGAGGAUGAUCAGCCACAUUGGGACUGAGACACGGCCCAAACUCCUACGGGAGGCAGCAGUGGGGAAUAUUGGACAAUGGGCGCAAGCCUGAUCCAGCCAUGCCGCGUGAGUGAUGAAGGCCCUAGGGUUGUAAAGCUCUUUUACCCGGGAAGAUAAUGACUGUACCGGGAGAAUAAGCCCCGGCUAACUUCGUGCCAGCA
rnacentral:rRNA from 1 species